rnacentral:rRNA from 2 species
GUGCGAGACCGAUAGCGAACAAGUACCGUGAGGAAAAGAUGAAAAGAACUUUGAAAAGAGAGUUAAAGAGUACCUGAAACUGCUGAAAGGGAAUCGAAUCGUUUCCAGUGUCUAUAAUCCGCGGCAUAUUUCAUUGGCGAGUGAGUGCGUGCAGCGCUUUGGAAGUGGUUUUCCUCUCCAUACGUUGUUGUGCGUUUGCUUGCUGGUGCCCUGUGUCGCGGUGGGACGUCAGAGUCAGUUCGUAUACUGCGGGAAAUGGCUACUGGGGAGGUAGGUCACUUCGGUGGCUGUUAUAUCCUGAUAACUAGUCGUCGUGGCUGGGACUGAGGUGUCUACAACGUGCUUUUGAGUCUGCGGGCUUCUCGUGUUGCUGUUUGCUUGGAUAGCUUGCUAUGUUUGUAAAUAAGUCGUGCGAUUGAGACCUGUAGUAACUUGUUGCUGUUCGGGACUUUG